GAUGAACGCUGGCGGCGUGCCUAAUACAUGCAAGUCGAGCGAACGGACGCGAAGCUUGCUUCUCUGAUGUUAGCGGCGGACGGGUGAGUAACACGUGGAUACCCUACCUAUAAGACUGGGAUAACUUCGGGAAACCGUAGCUAAUACCGGAUAAUAUUUUGAACCGCAUGGUUCAAAAGUGAAAGACGGUCUUGCUGUCACUUAUAGAUGGAUCCGCGCUGCAUUAGCUAGUUGGUAAGGUAACGGCUUACCAAGGCAACGAUGCAUAGCCGACCUGAGAGGGUGAUCGGCCACACUGGAACUGAGACACGGUCCAGACUCCUACGGGAGGCAGCAGUAGGGAAUCUUCCGCAAUGGGCGAAAGCCUUACGGAGCAACGCCACGUGAGUGAUGGAGGUCUUCGGAUCGUAAAACUCUGUUAUUAGGGAAGAACAUAUGUGUAAGUAACUGUGCACAGCUUGACGGUACCUAAUCAGAAAGCCACGGCUAACUACGUG
rnacentral:rRNA from 1 species